CCCGCAGGGCCGGUCCCGCCGCCUCCCGCGCCUCAGCAUCGCGGGCGGUUGUCACUGGCCGUCCCUUCGGCCAAGAAAACCCUCACCAGGAGGGACGUGUCUGGCUGCAGGUCACACAGCACAGCCGGGACCCGAACUCAGAGCCCUGUGAGAGCGCCGCUUUCUGGACUGUGAAAUCAGCACCGAGGGAGGAUGUUUUGCUGCUGCUGCUGCUGGAGAUUCAUUCCCGUCUCCUAGGGGCUGACCUGAGAAGACAGGCGCUCCUGAUGGAGGUGGGACUGAAGCUGUGUGGGCUCUGGCUGAGCAGAGAGGACUGAAAAGAUAUGAGGGGAUUGUUUUGAGCCUGGCAGGAGCCCAGGGCUUUACUGGGCAGCAAGGAACCACCUGGUGGAGCGGAGGCUCCAGGCUGUGUGACGGUUGGAGAGAUGGUUGGCCAGGAAGGCGGUGUGGACGCUGGACGGCCCAUCAAGUCUUCAGCGCUGGGAGCCGCGAAGGGCCUUCGACGGGAGCAGCAGGACCACACGGGCUUCCGAAGGGCCCCCUGCCGGAAUGAUGCCGUGGGGAGGGCCGGCAACCGCAGCCAGAGCUGAGCUUCAGGCACGCGGGGAAGCCGCUGCAGAGGGCUGAGAAGGGUCAGGACGGAGAGGAGCGGAGCCCCUGGGGAGCCUGGGGGCCCAGGAAGGGGCGGGUGGAUCAGAAGGCCAGGGCUGCGCUCCGUGAGGCAUCUGGGGUGCGGCCGGGACUCAGAUACCGGCAACAGGAGCUGUUUGUUUAAUUCACCUUUUGUCUUAAACACUUAAAAAGAUUUAUGGUGAGGGCGUGUCAGAGGAAAGGCCUGCUUCGCCUUCACCCUCCCCAUCCGUCCCUCCCCAGGGGCAGUGGUCUGAGCAGCCCCCCACGUGUUCACACUUAAGCGUAAACAAUAGGUCGGGUUUGGGUUUGUUUCUUUUAGUAACUGGAAUCACGCCGUAUAUAUUGUUCUUUAAUAUGCUCGUUGGAGACGUUUCCAGUCCAGCACACUCCUUUAUCCGUUACAGCACAUUCCAGAGAAUCAGUGUUCACCAUCCUGAUGGACAUUUGGGUUUUUGCAUUCUGCUCUGAUACAAUGAUGCCCACUUUUGUGCACAAAUAGAAGUCCAGGGGCCGGCAGGCGAGGGGAAGUCUCAGUUUGAGUCCCUGCUGAUCUGAGGUGAAGGCGUGUGACCUGGCGUGGGGCAGACCGUGGGCAGCGCACGCUGAGCCGGUGGAGAGCGGCUGGACUGUGGAUUUGGGAUUCAAAAGUCCAGAGGCACAGAGUAUGACCAGGACCUGCAGAGGAACCCAGCUCCUGCAGAAAAUACAGGAUCAGAGAAGAUGGGACCAGAGUUCUCCAUGCUGGGCACUGAAGGCUCCAUGAUGGCUCUGGGAGGGUCCCUCUCCCCAAAGGAGUGCGCAGUCAGGUAGUGGAAAUAAACACUGGACAAACUGCAAUCUGGGCACUGAUGGUCAAUUUGGAAUCAACUUGGGCGAUGUGAGGUGCUUUGAAACGGCCCUUAUCCGGCUAAGGGACAAUUGUGGUCCUUAUCACUAUUUCUUCAGGAAAGCGUCAAAGCAACAGCAGCAGAAUUUCCCUCCCUCCG